GGAGCCCCACGGGACGCAGCAGUAGGGAAUAUUGCUCAAUGGGGGAAACCCUGAAGCAGCAACGCCGCGUGGAGGAUGAAGGUUUUCGGAUUGUAAACUCCUUUUGUUAGAGAAGAUAAUGACGGUAUCUAACGAAUAAGCACCGGCUAACUCCGUGCCAGCAGCCGCGGUAAUACGGAGGGUGCAAGCGUUACUCGGAAUCACUGGGUGUAAAGGGCGUGCAGCCGGGAAGACAAGUCAGAUGUGAAAUCCCGCGGCUCAACCGCGGAACUGCAUUUGAAACUGUUUUUCUUGAGUACCGGAGA
rnacentral:rRNA from 1 species